rnacentral:misc_RNA from 1 species
AGAUAAAUAAAUAAAUAAAUAAAAUUGAUUAGAGUAGAAAAAGAGAAUUUGUACAGUCCACCAUAAUUUUUUUUUUGGAUAAAGGGUUAGUUGAGUUGAAUAUGCUAAAAUCCCAGUAAAAUUUAUUCCCUCGUAAUUCUAAUUAGAUGGGAUGUAAAUUUCUGAUGUGCCCAUGUUCAUCAACAUAGACAUUUUAUUUAUGCAUCUGGAUAUAUACUUACCCAUUAAUUGAACACCAAAAAUUUCACUCCCCAUUGGUUCUAAAUUUAAACCACUCAAGCCCAUUACAUAUACACUAAUCAACAAAACCCAUGAACUUCAAAGCAAAUUAACAACUAAAGCAACAUCAGCAGUAGCAGCAGAGGAAAAUUUUAGAUAAAUCAGAAUAACCUCCAUGAUUAAACAAAUAAAUAAAUUAACUCCUAACACAUCCCAUCUGCUAAACAUAAAAUCAUCCAUUCCUAAAGUAUUAUCGCGUUACAAGAACUCCUAUACAAACUUAUACAAAUACUUUAUAAGUACACUAGGAGAGAGAGAGAUAGAGUGCAAGGGAGAGCGUACCCGCAUCUCG